UACAGAGGAGCCAAGCGUUGUCCGGAUUGACUGGGCGUAAAGCGCACGCAGGCGGUCGUGCGCGUGGGGUGUGAAAUCUGGCCGCUUAACGGCCAGGCGCCAUCCCAUACGGCACGACUGGAGGGCUGCAGAGGUCGAUGGAAUUGCCGGUGUAGUGGUGAAAUGCGUAGAGAUCGGCAGGAACACCCAGGGGGAAACCAGUCGACUGGGCAGCACCUGACGCUGAGGUGCGAGAGCGUGGGGAGCGAACCGGG
rnacentral:rRNA from 1 species